rnacentral:rRNA from 1 species
UACAGAGGGGGCAAGCGUUGUUCGGAAUUACUGGGCGUAAAGGGCGCGUAGGCGGCCUGCUAAGUCGAACGUGAAAUCCCCGGGCUCAACCCGGGAACUGCGUCCGAUACUGGCAGGCUUGAAUCCGGGAGAGGGAUGUGGAAUUCCAGGUGUAGCGGUGAAAUGCGUAGAUAUCUGGAGGAACACCGGUGGCGAAGGCGGCAUCCUGGACCGGUACUGACGCUGAGACGCGAAAGCGUGGGGAGCGAACAGG